rnacentral:rRNA from 1 species
CGGGUGGAGUAACACGUGGGUAACCUACCUAUAAGACUGGGAUAACUUCGGGAAACCGGAGCUAAUACCGGAUAAUAUUUCGAACCGCAUGGUUCGAUAGUGAAAGGUGGUUUUGCUAUCACUUAUAGAUGGACCCGCGCCGUAUUAGCUAGUUGGUAAGGUAACGGCUUACCAAGGCGACGAUACGUAGCCGACCUGAGAGGGUGAUCGGCCACACUGGAACUGAGACACGGUCCAGACUCCUACGGGAGGCAGCAGCC